rnacentral:lncRNA from 1 species
CUCUCAAUCUAAUUUGUUUGCUAUGCAUCCAUAGAUAGAGACCCCCUCUAUUUAUAGAUGAUUUUCAUGACCCAAUGAGAGUAGGACUCUCAACUCAAAUCUGAUUUGAAUUAGUUUAAUACUCAUGAAAGAAGGUUCCUACAUGAGAUAGAAUUGCCAUCAUAUAUAACAAUCAACUUGCACGCACUCCCUUACCCACAAGGGAUGCCCCA